CUUCAGCGUUGUAAGGCCGGUUCAGUUUCUUCUUCUUCCUUCACGCUCCGAUCCGAUCUUCUUCCUCUCUCCGAUCCGGUUGCGUUCCAAGCUGGUACCUCUGAUUCGUUUUGUUGUUGACGAGUUGUACGGAUUCGUGAAUCAGUGCUUACUGGAUUCACGAUCUGAACUGAUUGUGUGUUUGGAUCGGAAACUAUGAUCGAACUCCGUGUAUUGGUUAUCCGGAGGAUUCGUGUUGCUGUGAAUCGGUUUGUAUGGAGGGGUUUGGAAAAUUGUUGGAUUGGUUGUUUCAAGUUUGUGUGAUCCGAAAAUGGGUAGAGAAAAGGAAAAUUAGGGUUUUUGUGAUUUGACUGUGCGGCU
rnacentral:lncRNA from 1 species